rnacentral:rRNA from 1 species
AUGCCCGACUGUGACAUCACCUGUGGCAACAUGAGUGUGCCAUACCCGUUCGGAAUUGGCCCAGCCAGGUGCUACUGGCCGGGGUUCAACCUCACCUGCGACCGUUCCAGCAACCCGCCGCGGUUGCUGCUCGGCGACGGCACCCUCCAAGUGCAAGACCUCUCCAUUACCAUGGCGACAUGGGUGGAUGCCAUACGCACUGGAGACAUAAUAGUCGACGGCAAUGGUGAAGGCAUGCUCGGCGGCGGCCUUACGACCGACGGGCCAUACACGAUUUCAUCCAACCAGCUCAUCCUGACGGGCUGCAAUGUUCAGGCGACGCUCAAGAACAGCGACGUGACAGUGAGCAGCUGUUCUUCUCUCUGUGGAAACGGCGAUGGACUCUCCCUGGCGCUAUCCAGACUCGAAGCAGGCAUACAAUGCUCCGGCAAUGGCUGCUGCCAGUCGGACAUUGUCUUCGAGCCUUCUCAGGUAGCAGGAAGGCUUGUCAACAGCACGUCCUAUGACGUGCAGCUCAAAUGGUUUGGUUGGAACCGCAGCAUGGACCAGCAGUGGCCCGUGCGCGUCUUUGUCGCGAGAUCCGGCUGGUUCAGCCGUACAUCGGUCUUUCAUGAGCUAUUACGAACUGACGGCCCUGCGUCAGAGGAUGCAAUGAAAGUUCCCUUUCGGCUGGACUGGGAGGUUGUUGGCCAUGGUGUAGAAUGCUCCAACGUCUGCAAGAGCAAGCACAGCAAGUGCAAAAAGGGUAAGAGAGGCUACACAUGCUCCUGCACAGACGGCUACAAAGGGAAUCCCUACAUCACCGACGGAUGCAAAGAUAUCGAUGAGUGCAGUGAUGAAGGGUACUGCUAUGGUGAUUGUACCAAUUUGGAUGGAGCAUAUGAUUGCCGGUGUCCGGCAGGAACCCAUGGCGAUGCUACCCUGCCUGGUGGCUGCCUCAGUUCCAUCUCGUAAGGAGUUGCUGUUGGGGCAGGCAUCAUACUAUUUGUUCUCGCUGGAUCCGUCGCACAUAAGAAAUUCAAACAUCGAAGAUCUCUGAUGUUGAGAAAGAACUUCGAAAAAAAGCGAGGACAGUUGUUGCAACAAUUGGUAUCACAAAGAGCUGAUAUUGCAGAAAGAAUGACUAUAACCUUAGACGAGCUUGAGAAGGCAACAAACAAAUUUGAUAAAGCUCGUGAGCUUGGUGGUGGGGGGCAUGGUACAGUCUACAAAGGGAUUCUAUCAGAUCUUCAUGUUGUAGCCAUCAAGAAACCAAAGGCGGCGAUUCAAAAGGAGAUUGAUGAAUUCAUUAAUGAGGUUGCUAUCUUAUCACAGAUCAACCAUAGAAAUGUUGUAAAGCUCUAUGGUUGUUGCCUUGAAACAGAGGUCCCCAUGUUGGUGUACGAGUUUAUAUCUAAUGGUACCCUUUAUGAUCAUCUCCAUGUUGAUGGACCAAAAUCAUUGUCAUGGAAUGAUAGGCUACGGAUAGCAACUGAGACUGCCAGAUCCUUAGCCCAUCUUCACUCAGCAGCUUCAGUACCUAUCAUCCAUAGAGAUAUCAAGUCUGUUAACAUACUUUUGGAUGAUACUCUAACAGCAAAGGUUGCAGACUUUGGAGCUUCAAGAUAUGUUCUGUUGGAUAGAUCAGGGAUCACAACAAGAGUGCAAGGUACAAGAGGAUAUCUGGACCCAUGUGUUUCUAUACCGGGCGUCUCACGGAAAAAAGUGAUGUGUACAGCUUUGGUGUCCUGCUUCUGGAGUUGUUGACUAGAAAGAAGCCAUUUUCAUACAUCUCUUCUGAAGAUGAAGGCCUUGUCACACAUUUUUCUACCCUAUUCACACAAGGCAACUUGUCAGAGAUACUAGAUCCGCAAGUUCUGGCAGAGGGAGGCAGAGAAAUGGAAGAAGUCGCAGCAAUUGCAGCAAUGUGUAUAACAUUAAGAGGACGCCCGUCAAUGAAGCAAGUGGAGAUUAGACUUGAAGGCACUCAAGCAUCCAGGGGACAUGAGGGGGGUGAUAUAAGAAAAUUUUCACGGACUGCAGAUGGAAGUAGGAGCGGGGAAUUGUCCAGGCAGUAUAGUAUGGAAGAGGAGUUCGCGUUAUCUUCAAGGUAUCCUCGGUAG